GUCCCUGGAGUGGGCAGGAAGCACCAGGCCUAACAAUGGGGACAGACACAUGCAGGGGCCUGGAGCCUGGGCAGGUCCUCCUCCUGGGGCUGCCAUAACAAACAACAGAUAAUUACAAUCCAGGGGGCUUAAGGCAGCAGAAAGGUUUUCUCCCACAGUUCGAAAGCCAGAAGUCCAGAAUCAAGGCAUUGCAGGGUGGGUUUCUUCUGAGGCUCUGAGACAGACAUUGUCCCCUCCUCUUCCUGGCCUCAGGGGCUGCAGGCCACACCUGGGCUCCUUGGCUUCCAGCUGACCCCCCGACCCUGCGUGAGUGUCCACGUGGACUCGCUCUGUGUCAAUGCGUGUCAGACGUCCUUCCGCUUUCCUUUGCAAGGAUGUCAGGUACUGGAUUUAGGGGCCUCCCUAAAUCCAGGAUGAUCGCCUCUUGAGAUCCUUAAUCAGGUCUGCAGAGACCCUGUUUCCCAAUAAGGUCACAUUCACAGGUAAUAGGAUUAGAACUUGAACUUAUCAUUUUGGGGGGACACUAGGAGCCCUCUACAUGGGGAAGGAGCUUCCUCUCCUCCCUGCUCUGUCCCCAGCUUUCCCUUCCAUCCGUCCGACCGUCCGCCCGUCCGUCUGUGCCCUCUGUCUGCCCCCAGCUGCCUGCCCUACUGACUCCUCCUUUGUUUCAGGGGUGGCGGCUGGAGGCCUCUGAGACAAGGGAGAAGGGGAUCUGGGAGAGCACAGAUGGACAGACGGAUGGAUGGAUGGAAGGGAAGAAGGACACCCCGAAGAGAAGACGUUCAGGGGGUGGAGGGCGGGAGGUGGCCAUCGACCCUUCCCCACCGGGUCAGUGAGCCGCUGGCCCUCCCCCACGCUCCCAGGCAGGGCAAGGAGAGCCAGAGGCGGCCCCACCAGCUCCCCAGCCACCUCCUCUCAGGACACCUGGCAAGGGAGCGGGACCCAGGCCAACACAAGGGGAAGGUCGGCCAGGGGCAGCCUGAGAGAUUCAGGCUAGACAGCAGGGGGACUUCCUCAGUGGGAGGCGAUGGAAAGUACCUCUGAGAAGACCCUUGCACAGCCCCGUGUGGCACUGGCUCUGUCUGAACCCCCUGGGACACACUUUUCUCAGAAGUGGUUUCCUAAGGUCUGGCCACUUUGUCUCUCUGGACCGGCCGGGGGACAGUGACAUUGAAAUCAACAUUAAACAUGCCUGACGAACAC
rnacentral:lncRNA from 1 species